ensembl:misc_RNA Metazoa_SRP Metazoan signal recognition particle RNA
GCCAGGCGUGGUGGUGCAUGCCUGUAAUCCCAGCUACUUGGGAGGCUGAAGCAGGAGAAUCAUUUGAACCCAGGAGGUGGAGGUUGCAGUGAGCCAAGAUUGCAACACUGAACUUCAGCCUGGGUGACAGAGUGAGAUUCUGUUUCAA